AUCAAUACGUUUUAAGUGAAUAACUACUUAUUCUAAUCGAAUACAAUAUGUAAAAAUAAUUACAUUUUAUUAUUUAAACUUAAACUUUAGCCAAAUGAAACAACAUGUCAUUUGCAACUAAUUUCACAUUUUCGUAAAAACCCUCUUUUUCUCAUAAGUUCGUAAAACUACAGCUAGGGGUGCUAUAAUUAAAAAGAAAACUUUCCAAUUUUCUAAGUUAAUUAGCUCCGGCUCUAUAGCACGGAUCGGGCUGAAAUUUUGGUAGAGGGAGCGGAUUGAGCUAAAAAUUCUUCAUGAAUCUCUCUUAAACAUGCCUAAGAAACUUACUUAUGUUAUAAAGAAUAAGGUAAAUACCAAUUAUUAAAGCAUUCUUAUUGAUUAGGUUUUUUAAAUUUUCAUUUUAAAAAAAUUGAAUGAAUUUCGCUCUAAAUCAUCCAAAAAUUUAAUAUUUGGCUGGCGUACACGCACGAACGCAAAUGCACGAGGGUCAGUGUAUUGUGUUCUUCAAAUGACGUGAUUUGCAUAAAAUAAAUAAUAUUACUUUCUAUAUGCAUUGAUUAUAACAAUUAAUAAUUUGAAUGAAAUUUAUAUUUAUUUAGAAUGAAAAACCAAUCAAAUCUAAUACUAUUUUUUGAAUCAAUAGCAUAAGUAUUUGAAAAAAAGGAAACUACAUUCAGAUCUAUGACUGAUUCCAUCAGUACGGAAAACAUUAAAACGAGUCAGUCUUGAAGAAGCCGCUGAGUUGAAAAGUUGUCACACAAAUUAUUUCCAAUCUAUUUGAAAAUGAAAAAAAAACUAAAAAAUGGUUACAGUGGAUAAGUAAACUUAUAAAGUUGCAAAAAUCAUCAAGUGAUCGACAAAGAAAUUUGAUAAAGUGUUGGAAAUCGUUAGAUUGGUUCAAUCGAUCAUCCUGAUUGCAAGUCAUUGUUGAUUGGAAACGUCCGUGAGCAGAAGCUGGAAAAUUAUCACCAUAUCUGUUUUAUCGAACUACUUUUCUUCAAAAAUUCCAUCUAGGAGAGACCUAAAUAGUAUCAAGGUAAGAAAAUUGAUUUUUUUUGUAAUGCAAUAAGAAUUACAUAAUUUGUGAAAGUUAGCAUUGAUCUUUACAAAGAAAUAUUGGACCUCGCAUAAUUUUUUUAUUAUAAAAAUGUUAAUUAUAUCAACUUAUUUAUGUUGAAUAUGUAUUUUCAAUUAUCGCUUUGGAAAAUAUCAUACUGGAAAAGUUUUUAAUUUCAUUUUUAUUUUUAUUCUUUCUUUUAUCAAUCGUGGUAACCGUUGAACCGUUCACUGGGAAAAGGACAAUCAUUGUCUUUUCCAUGGAAUUGGAAAAGUGAUUCGCAGAUAGCAGCAGAACUCAGAGCAAACAGUAAAGGACGUAAAUCUGCAAAACACAACUUAGAAAAGUGAGCGCUGUAAUAAAAGUAGACGAGGAGCACUACCACUGAUCAAAUUUCAUUAUGUCAUCGUUUAUCUUUACGGGGCAAAAGACAAUCAGUCUUUUGAAGUAUCUUAUUUCUUCUGAAACUGGUAAACACUAUUGGGAGAAAGCAGAAGAGCAUACAUCCAAAAGCUGAGAAGAAGACUUCACGAAACUACUAGAAAGUCGUGCAACACCCCAUAGAAAUUAAUGUAAUACAAUUUUAUUGUGAAUACACAUUAUUUAUGUCAAAUAAAUUUAUUUUUGAAAUCAUAGCAAGAGUCUUUUAAAUAUACCCUGGUACUGUUAUAUCUACCCGAGGAUAUUAUUUGAAUUAAUGUGGACGAAUAUCAAAGCAAACAUAUUUGCCAUUGAAUCUAUGGUAAAGAACAUUUAAAUAUACCAAGGAAAUUUUUAAUUUUACCCAUUGUGUAUUUAAAUUAAUGGUAACUCGUAGUUAAAACAAAUAUUUCUACUAUUGAAACUAUGGUAGUGUUACCCAGAAAUUUUUGAUUCUACCCAUGAAAGUGUUUAAAAUCCACUUUAGAAAUAAAGUGCAAAUGUAUUUGAUUUAAAAGACAUGUUUUCUUUUCAAAUACAGUGCCAUUCAAAAUAAAUACAAAUAUAUUUGUUGUGGCUAUGAUUACUGCCUUUCAGAUCAAAUGUAAAAAUAUUUGAAGUAAAAGUCGUCUGUAUUCAAAUCAAAUAAAACAUUAGAAACAAAUGUAUUCUACCAUUGGGGCCAAAAUACCCAUAAUUUCAUUUGAUUUUACCCAGAAAAACAUUAAUACUACCCAUAAAA